UGGUUUUUGAAAAAAAAGAAUUCAAGAAACGAUGUAUUUCAUUUUAUGCUGAAGUUGUCACUGAGUUUUGCUUUUCAAGAAAAGAUUUUGAUAGAAUGGAUACAAAUGUCAUUGGGAAUAUUUUAGAUCAUGUUUUUACUUCCAAAAGCACUAAAAUAUUUUCGUCAAUACCAGAUUAUGCACUCGAUCUAAUUCCUGUCAUUCGUUCUUUUUUACUCCAACAACUUCUUCAAAGGAAUUACAACGAGGUUCAAAAAUACCUAAGGUGCCUUUUACCAAUGCUACUUUCACAUACAGAUCAAAGUCAGCUUCUUGAAGUUGCAAAUCUUUUUAUAUAUUGCAUGGAGG
rnacentral:lncRNA from 1 species